GUGAGGAAUAUUGGACAAUGGGCGCAAGCCUGAUCCAGCAAUGCCGCGUGCAGGAAGAAGGCCUUCGGGUUGUAAACUGCUUUUGUACGGAACGAAAAGGCUCUGGUUAAUACCUGGGGCUAGUGACGGUACCGUAAGAAUAAGCACCGGCUAACUACGUGCCAGCAGCCGCGGUAAUACGUAGGGUGCGAGCGUUAAUCGGAAUUACUGGGCGUAAAGCGUGCGAAGGCGGUGCUGUAAGACAGGCGUGAAAUCCCCGGGCUCAACCUGGGAAUUGCGCUUGUGACUGCAGUGCUGGAGUGCGGCAGAGGGGGAUGGAAUUCCGCGUGUAGCAGUGAAAUGCGUAGAUAUGCGGAGGAACACCGAUGGCGAAGGCAAUCCCCUGGGCCUGCACUGACGCUCAUGCACGAAAGCGUGGGGAGCAAACAGGAUUAGAAACCCUUGUAGUCC
rnacentral:rRNA from 1 species